CCUACGGGAGGCAGCAGUGGGGAAUAUUGGGCAAUGGGCGAAAGCCUGACCCAGCAACGCCGCGUGAAGGAAGAAGGCUUUCGGGUUGUAAACUUCUUUUGUUAGGGAAGAGUAGAAGACGGUACCUGACGAAUAAGCCACGGCUAACUACGUGCCAGCAGCCGCGGUAAUACGUAGGUGGCAAGCGUUGCCCGGAUUUACUGGGUGUAAAGGGCGUGUAGCCGGGUUGACAAGUCAGAUGUGAAAUCCUGCGGCUUAACCGCAGAACUGCAUUUGAAACUGUUGAUCUUGAGUACUGGAGAGGCAGGCGGAAUGCCUGGUGUAGCGGUGAAAUGCGUAGAGAUUAGGAGGAACACCCGUGGCGAAGGCGGUCUGCUGGACAGCAACUGACGGUGAGGCGCGAAAGCGUGGGGAGCAAACAGGAUUAGAUACCCCAGUAGUC
rnacentral:rRNA from 1 species